AGCGGCGGAUGGGUGAGUAACACGUGGGGAACCUGCCCCUAAGUCUGGGAUACCAUUUGGAAACAGGUGCUAAUACCGGAUAAUAAAGCAGAUCGCAUGAUCAGCUUUUGAAAGGCGGCGUAAGCUGUCGCUAAGGGAUGGCCCCGCGGUGCAUUAGCUAGUUGGUAAGGUAACGGCUUACCAAGGCGACGAUGCAUAGCCGAGUUGAGAGACUGAUCGGCCACAUUGGGACUGAGACACGGCCCAAACUCCUACGGGAGGCAGCAGUAGGGAAUCUUCCACAAUGGACGCAAGUCUGAUGGAGCAACGCCGCGUGAGUGAAGAAGGUUUUCGGAUCGUAAAGCUCUGUUGUUGGUGAAGAAGGAUAGAGGUAGUAACUGGCCUUUAUUUGACGGUGAUCAGCCAGAAAGUCACGGCUAACUACGUGCCAGCAGCCGCGGUAAUACGUAGGUGGCAAGCGUUGUCCGGAUUUAUUGGGCGUAAAGCGAGCGCAGGCGGAAAAAUAAGUCUAAUGUGAAAGCCCUCGGCUUAACCGAGGAACUGCAUCGGAAACUGUUUUUCUUGAGUGCAGAAGAGGAGAGUGGAACUCCAUGUGUAGCGGUGGAAUGCGUAGAUAUAUGGAAGAACACCAGUGGCGAAAGGCGGCUCUCUGGUCUGCAACUGACGCUGAGGCUCGAAAGCAUGGGUAGCGAACAGGAUUAGAUACCCUGGUAGUCCAUGCCGUAAACGAUGAGUGCUAAGUGU
rnacentral:rRNA from 1 species